AGAUUGAACGCUGGCGGCAGGCCUAACACAUGCAAGUCGAGCGAGAAAGGUCUUCGGGCUGAGUACAGCGGCGGACGGGUGAGUAACGCGUAGGAAUCUACCUGGUAGUGGGGGACAACAUGGGGAAACUCAUGCUAAUACCGCAUACGCCCUAAGGGGGAAAGCGGGGGACCUUCGGGCCUCGCGCUAUCGGAUGAGCCUGCGUAGGAUUAGCUAGUUGGUAGGGUAAAGGCCUACCAAGGCGACGAUCCUUAGC
rnacentral:rRNA from 1 species